rnacentral:rRNA from 1 species
GAUGAACGCUGGCGGCGUGCCUAAUACAUGCAAGUCGAGCGAACGGACGAGAAGCUUGCUUCUCUGAUGUUAGCGGCGGACGGGUGAGUAACACGUGGAUAACCUACCUAUAAGACUGGGAUAACUUCGGGAAACCGGAGCUAAUACCGGAUAAUAUUUUGAACCGCAUGGUUCAAAAGUGAAAGACGGUCUUGCUGUCACUUAUAGAUGGAUCCGCGCUGCAUUAGCUAGUUGGUAAGGUAACGGCUUACCAAGGCAACGAUGCAUAGCCGACCUGAGAGGGUGAUCGGCCACACUGGAACUGAGACACGGUCCAGACUCCUACGGGAGGCAGCAGUAGGGAAUCUUCCGCGAUGGGCGGAAGCCUGACGGAGCAACGCCGCGUGAGUGAUGAAGGUCUUCGGAUCGUAAAACUCUGCUAUUAGGGAAGAACAUAUGUGUAAGUAACUGUGCACAUCUUGACGUUACCUAAUCAGAAAGCCACGGCUAACUACGUG